GGUCAUGAGUGCCAGCGCAAAGCCCCGGCUCGCUGGUCGGCAACCCUCCUCCGCGGUGGGGUGCUCCGGGUGACGACCUGGCCGCCGUCCGACCGGACGCGGCAAGCGCGGACU
rnacentral:ncRNA from 17 species